rnacentral:rRNA from 1 species
UACGUAGGGUCCGAGCGUUGUCCGGAAUUACUGGGCGUAAAGAGCUCGUAGGUGGUUUGUCGCGUUGUUCGUGAAAACUCACAGCUUAACUGUGGGCGUGCGGGCGAUACGGGCAGACUUGAGUACUGCAGGGGAGACUGGAAUUCCUGGUGUAGCGGUGAAAUGCGCAGAUAUCAGGAGGAACACCGGUGGCGAAGGCGGUUCUCUGGGCAUGUCCUGACGCUGAGGAGCGAAAGUGUGGGGAGCGAACAGG